rnacentral:rRNA from 1 species
CCUACGGGAGGCAGCAGUGGGGGAUAUUGGACAAUGGGGGGAACCCUGAUCCAGCGACGCCGCGUGAGUGAAGAAGUAUUUCGGUAUGUAAAGCUCUGUCAGCAGGGAAGAAAGAAAUGACGGUACCUGACCAAGAAGCCCCGGCUAACUACGUGCCAGCAGCCGCGGUAAUACGUAGGGGGCAAGCGUUAUCCGGAAUUACUGGGUGUAAAGGGAGCGUAGACGGUUAAGUAAGUCUGGCGUGAAAGGCCGGGGCCCAACCCCGGGACUGCUCUGGAAACUAGUGAACUUGAGUGCAGGGGAGGUAAGCGGAAUUCCUAGUGUAGCGGUGAAAUGCGGAGAUAUUAGGAGGAACACCAGUGGCGAAGGCGGCUUACUGGACUGUAACUGACGUUGAGGCUCGAAGGCGUGGGGAGCGAACAGGAUUAGAUACCCUUGUAGUC